rnacentral:rRNA from 1 species
AGAGUUUGAUCCUGGCUCAGGAUGAACGCUAGCGACAGGCUUAACACAUGCAAGUCGAGGGGCAGCGGGGUAGUGCUUGCACUACCGCCGGCGACCGGCGCACGGGUGAGUAACACGUAUGCAACCUACCCUGAUCAGGGGGAUAAGCGGUGGAAACGCCGUCUAAUACCGCGUAUAUCUUCCGGGGGCAUCCCCGGGAGAAGAAAGGUAGUAAUACCGGAACAGGAUGGGCAUGCGGCGCAUUAGGUAGUUGGAGGUGUAACGGACCACCAAGCCGACGAUGCGUAGGGGUUCUGAGAGGAAGGUCCCCCACACUGGUACUGAGACACGGACCAGACUCCUACGGGAGGCAGCAGUGAGGAAUAUUGGUCAAUGGGCGGGAGCCUGAACCAGCCAAGUCGCGUGAAGGAAGAAGGUACUUAGUAUUGUAAACUUCUUUUGUCAGGGAACAAAAGUGAGGACGCGUCCUCAUAUGAGUGUACCUGAAGAAAAAGCAUCGGCUAACUCCGUGCCAGCAGCCGCGGUAAUACAGAGGUCUCAAGUGUUGUUCGGAAUCACUGGGCGUAAAGCGUGCGUAGGCUGUUUCGUAAGUCGUGUGUGAAAGGCGCGGGCUCAACCCGCGGACGGCACAUGAUACUGCGAGACUAGAGUAAUGGAGGGGGAACCGGAAUUCUCGGUGUAGCAGUGAAAUGCGUAGAUAUCGAGAGGAACACUCGUGGCGAAGGCGGGUUCCUGGACAUUAACUGACGCUGAGGCACGAAGGCCAGGGGAGCGAAAGGGAUUAGAUACCCCUGUAGUCCUGGCAGUAAACGGUGCACGCUUGGUGUGCGGGGAAUUCACCCCCCCUGUGCGCGGGAGAAUAAGCGCUAAGGGUCUCCCGUGGGGGAGUGCGGUCGCAAGAUUAAAACUCAAAGAAAUUGGCGGGGGACCCGCACAAGCGGUGGGAGUAUGUGGGCUUAAUUUGGUGCCACGCGAAGAACCUUCCCUGGGCCUGACAUGGUAAUGAACAACAUGUGAAAGCAUGCGACUCUUCGGAGGCGUUACACAGGUGCUGCAUGGCCGUCGUCAGCUCGUGUCGUGAGAUGUUUGGUUAAGUCCAGCAACGAGCGCAACCCCUGUUGCCAGUUACCAGCACGUGAAGGUGGGGACUCUGGCGAGACUGCCCAGAUCAACUGGGAGGAAGGUGGGGACGACGUCAGGUCAGUAUGGCCCUUAUGCCCAGGGCUGCACACGUACUACAAUGCCCAGUACAGAGGGGGCCGAAGCCGCGAGGCGGAGGAAAUCCUAAAAACUGGGCCCAGUUCGGACUGUAGGCUGCAACCCGCCUACACGAAGCCGGAAUCGCUAGUAAUGGCGCAUCAGCUACGGCGCCGUGAAUACGUUCCCGGGUCUUGCACACACCGCCCGUCAAG